UACGUAGGGUGCAAGCGUUAAUCGGAAUUACUGGGCGUAAAGCGUGCGCAGGCGGUGAUGUAAGCCAGAUGUGAAAUCCCCGGGCUCAACCUGGGAACUGCAUUUGUGACUGCAUCGCUGGAGUGCGGCAGAGGGGGAUGGAAUUCCGCGUGUAGCAGUGAAAUGCGUAGAGAUGCGGAGGAACACCGAUGGCGAAGGCAGCCCCCUGGGUCGACACUGACGCUCAGGCACGAAAGCGUGGGGAGCAAACAGG
rnacentral:rRNA from 1 species